AACGAACGCUGGCGGCAUGCCUAACACAUGCAAGUCGAACGAGACCUUCGGGUCUAGUGGCGCACGGGUGCGUAACGCGUGGGAACCUGCCCUUAGGUUCGGAAUAACUCCCCGAAAGGGGUGCUAAUACCGGAUAAUGUCUUCGGACCAAAGAUUUAUCGCCUUUGGAUGGGCCCGCGUUGGAUUAGCUAGUUGGUAGGGUAAAAGCCUACCAAGGCGACGAUCCAUAGCUGGUCUGAGAGGAUGAUCAGCCACACUGGGACUGAGACACGGCCCAGACUCGUACGGGAGGCAGCAGUGGGGAAUAUUGGACAAUGGGCGAAAGCCUGAUCCAGCAAUGCCGCGUGAGUGAUGAAGGCCUUAGGGUUGUGAAGCUCUUUUACCCGGGAUGAUAAUGACAGUACCGGGAGAAUAAGCUCCGGCUAACUCCGUG
rnacentral:rRNA from 1 species